rnacentral:rRNA from 1 species
GACGAACGCUGGCGGCGUGCUUAACACAUGCAAGUCGAACGGAAAGGCGCUGCUUUUGUGGGGUGCUCGAGUGGCGAACGGGUGAGUAGCACGUGAGUAACCUGCCCUUGACUUUGGGAUAACUUCAGGAAACUGCGGCUAAUACCGGAUAGGAGCUCCUGCUGCAUGGUGGGGGUUGGAAAGUUUCGGCGGUUGGGGAUGGACUCGCGGCUUAUCAGCUUGUUGGUGGGGUAGUGGCUUACCAAGGCUUUGACGGGUAGCCGGCCUGAGAGGGUGACCGGCCACCUUGGGACUGAGAGACGGCGCAGACGCCUACGGGAGGCAGCAGGCGGGAAUAUUGCACAAUGGGCGGAAGCCUGAUGCAGCAACGCCGCGUGCGGGAUGACGGCCUUCGGGUUGUAAACCGCUUUCGCCUGUGACGAAGCGUGAGUGACGGUAAUGGGUAAAGAAGCACCGGCUAACUACGUG